rnacentral:tRNA from 1 species
ACCAGCAUGAUAUAAUGGAAAGAAUACUUUUCUUGGAAAUCAGAUGCCUGGGUUUGAGUCCCAAUUCUGGUA